rnacentral:rRNA from 1 species
UCAGGCUUUGCUUGGUGGUGAGAGUGGCGAACGGGUGAGUAAUGCGUGACCGACCUGCCCCAUACACCGGAAUAGCUCCUGGAAACGGGUGGUAAUGCCGGAUGCUCCGACUCCUCGCAUGGGGUGUCGGGAAAGAUUUCAUCGGUAUGGGAUGGGGUCGCGUCCUAUCAGGUAGUCGGCGGGGUAACGGCCCACCGAGCCUACGACGGGUAGCCGGCCUGAGAGGGCGACCGGCCACAUUGGGACUGAGAUACGGCCCAGACUCCUACGGGAGGCAGCAGUGGGGAAUAUUGCACAAUGGGCGCAAGCCUGAUGCAGCGACGCCGCGUGCGGGAUGACGGCCUUCGGGUUGUAAACCGCUUUUGAUCGGGAGCAAGCCUUCGGGUGAGUGUACCUUUCGAAUAAGCACCGGCUAACUACGUGCCAGCAGCCGCGGUAAUACGUAGGGUGCAAGCGUUAUCCGGAAUUAUUGGGCGUAAAGGGCUCGUAGGCGGUUCGUCGCGUCCGGUGUGAAAGUCCAUCGCUUAACGGUGGAUCUGCGCCGGGUACGGGCGGGCUGGAGUGCGGUAGGGGAGACUGGAAUUCCCGGUGUAACGGUGGAAUGUGUAGAUAUCGGGAAGAACACCAAUGGCGAAGGCAGGUCUCUGGGCCGUUACUGACGCUGAGGAGCGAAAGCGUGGGGAGCGAACAGGAUUAGAUACCCUGGUAGUCCACGCCGUAAACGGUGGAUGCUGGAUGUGGGGCCCGUUCCACGGGUUCCGUGUCGGAGCUAACGCGUUAAGCAUCCCGCCUGGGGAGUACGGCCGCAAGGCUAAAACUCAAAGAAAUUGACGGGGGCCCGCACAAGCGGCGGAGCAUGCGGAUUAAUUCGAUGCAACGCGAAGAACCUUACCUGGGCUUGACAUGUUCCCGACAGCCGUAGAGAUAUGGCCUCCCUUCGGGGCGGGUUCACAGGUGGUGCAUGGUCGUCGUCAGCUCGUGUCGUGAGAUGUUGGGUUAAGUCCCGCAACGAGCGCAACCCUCGCCCUGUGUUGCCAGCACGUCAUGGUGGGAACUCACGGGGGACCGCCGGGGUCAACUCGGAGGAAGGUGGGGAUGACGUCAGAUCAUCAUGCCCCUUACGUCCAGGGCUUCACGCAUGCUACAAUGGCCGGUACAACGGGAUGCGACACGGCGACGUGGAGCGGAUCCCUGAAAACCGGUCUCAGUUCGGAUUGGAGUCUGCAACCCGACUCCAUGAAGGCGGAGUCGCUAGUAAUCGCGGAUCAGCAACGCCGCGGUGAAUGCGUUCCCGGGCCUUGUACACACCGCCCGUCAAGUCAUGAAAGUGGGUAGCACCCGAAGCCGGUGGCCUAACCCUU